ensembl:snRNA U6 U6 spliceosomal RNA
GUUUGCUUCGGCAGCACAUAUACAAAAUUGGAAAGAUACAGAGAAGAUUAGUAUGGCCCCUGCACAAGGAUAACACACACACAUUUGUGUAGGUAAUUCCUGUG